GAUGAACGCUGGCGGCGUGCCUAAUACAUGCAAGUCGAGCGAACAGACGAGGAGCUUGCUCCUCUGACGUUAGCGGCGGACGGGUGAGUAAAACGUGGAUAACCUACCUAUAAGACUGGGAUAACUUCGGGAAACCGGAGCUAAUACCGGAUAAUAUAUUGAACCGCAUGGUUCAAUAGUGAAAGACGGUUUUGCUGUCACUUAUAGAUGGAUCCGCGCCGCAUUAGCUAGUUGGUAAGGUAACGGCUUACCAAGGCAACGAUGCGUAGCCGACCUGAGAGGGGGAUCGGCCACACUGGAACUGAGACACGGUCCAGACUCCUACGGGAGGCAGCAGUAGGGAAACUUCCGCAAUGGGCGAAAGCCUGACGGAGCAACGCCGCGUGAGUGAUGAAGGUCUUCGGAUCGUAAAACUCUGUUAUUAGGGAAGAACAAAUGUGUAAGUAACUAUGCACGUCUGGACGGUACCUAAUCAGAAAGCCACGGCUAACUACGG
rnacentral:rRNA from 1 species